rnacentral:rRNA from 1 species
UACGUAGGCAGCAAGCGUUGUUCGGAAUUACUGGGCGUAAAGAGUGUGUAGGCGGUGCUCCAAGUCUGGUGUGAAAUCUCCCGGCUUAACUGGGAGGGUGCAUUAGAAACUGGAAUGCUAGAGGAUGGGAGAGGUAAGCGGAAUUCCUGGUGCAGCGGUGAAAUGCGUAGAUAUCAGGAGGAACACCUGUGGUGUAGACAGCUUACUGGACCAUUUCUGACGCUGAGACACGAAAGCGUGGGUAGCAAACAGG